rnacentral:rRNA from 1 species
AUGCAAGUCGAACGAUGGCUUCGGCCAUAGUGGCGCACGGGUGAGUAGCGCGUGGGAACCUGCCUUGGAGUUCGGAAUAACCGCGGGAAACUGCGGCUAAUACCGAAUAUUGCCUUCGGGUGAAAGAUUUAUCGCUCCAAGAGGGGCCCGCGUCCGAUUAGCUAGUUGGUGAGGUAACGGCUCACCAAGGCGACGAUCGGUAGCUGGUCUGAGAGGAUGAUCAGCCACACUGGGACUGAGACACGGCCCAGACUCCUACGGGAGGCAGCAGUGGGGAAUAUUGGACAAUGGGGGCAACCCUGAUCCAGCAAUGCCGCGUGAGUGAUGAAGGCCUUAGGGUUGUAAAGCUCUUUUACCCACGACGAUGAUGACGGUAGUGGGAGAAUAAGCCCCGGCUAACUUCGUGCCAGCAGCCGCGGUAAUACGAAGGGGGCUAGCGUUGUUCGGAGUUACUGGGCGUAAAGGGCGCGUAGGCGGCGCACCAAGUCAGGCGUGAAAGCCCUGGGCUCAACCCGGGAAUUGCGCUUGAGACUGGUGUGCUUGAGUACGGGAGAGGAUAGUGGAAUUCCCAGUGUAGAGGUGAAAUUCGUAGAUAUUGGGAAGAACACCGGUGGCGAAGGCGGCUAUCUGGACCGUAACUGACGCUGAGGCGCGA